AAGUAAAAUAUUAACAAAUCUCGUUAAAGCAAUGAUAAUCCUUUUUAAUUAAUAGCUAAAAGGCAGUCGGAAAAAAGUGACCUUUUUCAUAGUAAAUAGCUCCAUCUGUGGAACCUCUCAGCACAUAGAACGAUCAAACCAACCGGGUCCAACCCAAAGAUCGAAAUGAACACCUUAACGACAACGUUUUCCACGCACCACUCCUACUCCCACACCACUUUCCACACUACCCUUAUCCCAAUCCAAUCCCUCUCCUUCCGCACUCCCAAUCACAAGUUCAGACUCUUAUGUUUCUCCUCGGAUCCCUCUCAUUCGCAGCCGGUCGUCGUCGUCGGCUCUGCCAACGCCGACAUCUAUGUAGAGAUCGACCGCCUCCCGCUAGAAGGCGAGACCCUCGCUGCAAAGUCCGGCGAGACGCUUGCCGGCGGCAAGGGCGCCAAUCAGGCCACGUGCUCCGCGAAGCUCUCCCGUCCGACCUACUUCAUCGGACAAGUUGGUGAUGACGCUUAUGGUAGCCUCGUCACCGGCGCUCUUCGCAGCGGUGGUGUACGCCUCGACAGUCUGACGGUGGUUCCGUCCGUGCCCACUGGUCACGCCGUUGUGAUGCUCCAAUCCAACGGCCAGAACUCCAUCAUCAUCAUCGGGGGUGCUAACUCGAGUGGUUGGCCCAGUUCCCUGCCACGUCAGCAUUUGGACAUCGUGGCCCAAGCCGGCAUUGUUUUGUUGCAGAGGGAGAUACCCGAUUAUGUCAACGUUCAAGUGGCGCAGGCUGCGAGGAAUGCUGGCGUGCCUGUUGUGUUGGAUGCCGGAGGAAUGGAUGGACCACUUCCGCCGCAAUUAUUGAAUUUUGUUGAUAUUUUGAGUCCUAAUGAAACUGAACUUGCUCGCAUUACUGGAAUGCCGACUGAAAGUUUUGAACAGAUUGCACAGGCUGCUUUGAAAUGCCAUGAAUUGGGAGUUAAACAAGUUCUUGUGAAACUUGGGCAUAAAGGAUCUGCCCUUUUUGUAGAAGGAGAAAAACCGAUUCAGCAGCCUGCCAUAUUAGCUAAAACAGUCGUAGAUACAACUGGUGCUGGUGAUACUUUUACUGCCGCUUUUGCUGUGGCCUUAGUUGAGGGCAAGUCCAGAAAGGAAUGCCUCAGAUUUGCUGCUGCUGCAGCUUGUCUUUGUGUUCAAGUUAAGGGAGCCUCUCCCAGCAUGCCAGAUAGGAAAUCUGUUUUGGAUCUACUUAAUCGUCAAUGAAUAUACUUGCAAAAGAAAAUAUGAAUCAGUCUUCCAGCGUUCUCAUCAUUCUUCUUCUGCUAUCCCAUUUCUUCCCAUAUUCAAGCUCAAGCACAAGAAUAAUGAUUCAAAAAGUCACUGAAACAGAUCAUCAUCAUCAUCAUCACCCACCAAGAGGAACUGAGAGGGAUCAUGUUCAAAGGAAAGCAUUGCAUGAAGUACACUCAGGGCCUAAUCCUAUCAGUAAUUCCUUUCCACAGCAAAAGUUGAACUCAGAUACACAUAAACAUUAGCUCUUCUUUUCCAUAUGUUAAAUUCAUUUUUCUUUUUCUUUAAACUCUAUAUUUUUCCUUUCUGUUCUUUCUUCCUUCAUCAUAUUUCGUAUACAUAUUUUCAGUCAGCUUAUUGAAUCAUAUAAUGAAUCUAAA